UACGGGGGGGGCAAGCGUUGUUCGGAAUUACUGGGCGUAAAGGGCUCGUAGGCGGCCAACUAAGUCAGACGUGAAAUCCCUAGGCUCAACCUAGGAACUGCGUCUGAUACUGGAUGGCUUGAAUCCGGGAGAGGGAUGCAGAAUUCCAGGUGUAGCGGUGAAAUGCGUAGAUAUCUGGAGGAACACCGGUGGCGAAGGCGGGUCUCUGGGCCGAUAUCGACGCUGAGGAGCGAAAGCGUGGGGAGCGAACAGG
rnacentral:rRNA from 1 species